rnacentral:misc_RNA from 1 species
CAUUCUGCUGAACUAUGGCGGUUUCCUGACAGAACCACUAGUGUUGGACAGAUGAUAUCUUCCUAUCUUUCUAACGAAUCACAGCUGGAUGACCACACAAUACAUCUUCUUUUCAGUGCUAACCGAUGGGAGAAGAGAUCCUUAAUGGAAACUAAGUUGAAAGGUGGAACCACUCUUAUUCUUGAUCGGUAUUCUUACUCAGGGGUGGCCUUUUCAUGUGCCAAAGGACUUGGGUUUGAAUGGUGUAAGGCACCGGAG